rnacentral:rRNA from 1 species
CAGUAGCCGCGGUAAUACAGAGGAUGCAAGCGUUAUUCGGAAUGAUUGGGCGUAAAGCGUCUGUAGGUAGCUUUUCAAGUCUGCCGUCAAAUCCCUGGGCUCAACCUUGGACAGGCAGUGGAAACUACCAAGCUGGAGUAUGGUAGGGGCAGAGGGAAUUUCCAGUGGAGCGGUGAAAUGCGUUGAGAUCGGAAAGAACACCAACGGCGAAAGCACUCUGCUGGGCCGACACUAACACUGAGAGACGAAAGCUAGGGGAGCAAAUGGGAUUAGAUACCCGCGUAGUCCCUGUCUCUUAUAA